rnacentral:rRNA from 1 species
UACAGAGGUCCCAAGCGUUGUUCGGAUUCACUGGGCGUAAAGGGUGCGUAGGUGGUGAGGUAAGUCGGAUGUGAAAGCUCGGAGCUCAACUCCGAAAUGGCAUUGGAAACUACCUUGCUCGAGGGUUGGAGGGGGGACUGGAAUGCUUGGUGUAGCAGUGAAAUGCGUAGAUAUCAAGCGGAACACCAGUGGCGAAGGCGAGUCCCUGGACAACCCCUGACACUGAGGCACGAAAGCUAGGGGAGCAAACAGG